AGUAAGUACUAUCCGGGAGACACACGGCGGGUGCUAACGUCCGUCGUGGAGAGGGAAACAACCCAGACCGCCAGCUAAGGUCCCAAAGUAUAGCUAAGUGGGAAACGAUGUGGGAAGGCUCAGACAGCCAGGAUGUUGGCUUAGAAGCAGCCAUCAUUUAAAGAAAGCGUAAUAGCUCACUGGUCGAGUCGGCCUGCGCGGAAGAUGUAACGGGGCUAAGCUAUACACCGAAGCUGCGGCUACGUAYCUUAGGRUAUGUGGGGUAGGGGAGCGUUCUGUAAGCCGUUGAAGGUGGUCUGUAAGGGCUGCUGGAGGUAUCAGAAGUGCGAAUGCUGACAUGAGUAACGAUAAAGGGAGUGAAAAACUCCCUCGCCGGAAGACCAAGGGUUCCUGUCCAACGUUAAUCGGGGCAGGGUAAGUCGACUCCUAAGGCGAGGCCGAAAGGCGUAGUCGAUGGGAAACGGGUUAAUAUUCCCGUACUUCUUACAAUUGCGAUGGGGGGACGGAGAAGGCUAGGUGGGCCUGGCGACGGUUGUCCAGGUUCAAGUACGUAGGCGGGUGGUUUAGGUAAAUCCGGACCGCUACUAACGCUGAGAUACGAUGUCGAGCUACUACGGUAGUGAAGUCAUUGAUGCCAUGCUUCCAGGAAAAGCCUCUAAGCUUCAGAUUGUAAGGAAUCGUACCCCAAACCGACACAGGUGGUCGGGUAGAGAAUACCAAGGCGCUUGAGAGAACUCGGGUGAAGGAACUAGGCAAAAUGGUACCGUAACUUCGGGAGAAGGUACGCUCUUAUCAGUGAAGUCCCUUGCGGAUGGAGCAGACGAGAGUCGCAGAUACCAGGUGG
rnacentral:rRNA from 1 species